AUUGAACGCUGGCGGCAUGCUUUACACAUGCAAGUCGAACGGCAGCGCGGGCUUCGGCCUGGCGGCGAGUGGCGAACGGGUGAGUAAUGCAUCGGAACGUGCCCAGUAGUGGGGGAUAGCCCGGCGAAAGCCGGAUUAAUACCGCAUACGACCUGAGGGUGAAAGCGGGGGACCGAAAGGCCUCGGGCUUUUGGAGCGGCCGAUGUCGGAUUAGCUAGUUGGUGGGGUAAAGGCUUACCAAGGCGACGAUCCGUAGCUGGUCUGAGAGGACGACCAGCCACACUGGGACUGAGACACGGCCCAGACUCCUACGGGAGGCAGCAGUGGGGAAUUUUGGACAAUGGGGGCAACCCUGAUCCAGCCAUGCCGCGUGCGGGAAGAAGGCCUUCGGGUUGUAAACCGCUUUUGUUCGGGAAGAAAUCCUCUGGGCUAAUACCCCGGGGGGAUGACGGUACCGGAAGAAUAAGCACCGGCUAACUACGUG
rnacentral:rRNA from 1 species